rnacentral:lncRNA from 1 species
ACCUGUAUGCCAUAUCAUUAUCUCCACACUCCUUGGUUAAGAGGACAACUAACUCAUAUAGCCUACAGUGACCUAUGCUCGAUAGAAGCUGUCGUCCUUAUUAACAGCCUAUCAUUUGGUCGUGAACAGUUUUAAGGACUAAUCGAUAAAUCCUCUCUUUAUCGAAUCUAAAUAGUCCUAAGGACUUCAUCACAAUAAC